rnacentral:rRNA from 1 species
AACGAACGCUGGCGGUAUGCUUAAUCCAUGCAAGUCGAACGGAAUAUUUUGAAGCUUGCUUUGAAAUAUUUUAGUGGCAAACGGGUGAGUAACACGUGGGAAUCUACCUAUCAGUACGGAAUAACUUUCGGAAACGAAUGCUAAUACCGUAUAUUCUCUAAGGAGGAAAGAUUUAUCGCUGAUAGAUGAGCCCGCGCAAGAUUAGGUAGUUGGUAGGGUAAAGGCCUACCAAGCCUACGAUCUUUAGCUGGUCUGAGAGGAUGAUCAGCCACACUGGGACUGAGACACGGCCCAGACUCCUACGGGGGGCAGCAGGAAGGAAUAUUGGACAAUGGGCGAAAGCCUGAUCCAGCAAUACCGCGUGAAUGAUGAAGGCCUUAGGGUUGUAAAGUUCUUUUAGUAGGGAAGAUAAUGACGGUACCUACAGAAAAAGCCCCGGNUAACUCCGUGCCAGCAGCCGCGGUAAAGUCUG